rnacentral:rRNA from 1 species
GACGAACGCUGGCGGCGUGCUUAACACAUGCAAGUCGAACGAUGAUGCCCAGCUUGCUGGGCGGAUUAGUGGCGAACGGGUGAGUAAUACGUGAGUAACCUGCCCUUGACUCUGGGAUAAGCCUGGGAAACUGGGUCUAAUACUGGAUACUACCUCUUGCCGCAUGGUGGGUGGUGGAAAGGGUUUUACUGGUUUUGGAUGGGCUCACGGCCUAUCAGCUUGUUGGUGGGGUAAUGGCUCACCAAGGCGACGACGGGUAGCCGGCCUGAGAGGGUGACCGGCCACACUGGGACUGAGACACGGCCCAGACUCCUACGGGAGGCAGCAGUGGGGAAUAUUGCACAAUGGGCGGAAGCCUGAUGCAGCGACGCCGCGUGAGGGAUGACGGCCUUCGGGUUGUAAACCUCUUUCAGUAGGGAAGAAGCGAGAGUGACGGUACCUGCAGAAGAANNCGCCGGCUAACUACGUGCCAGCAGCNGCGGUAAUACGUAGGGCGCAAGCGUUGUCCGGAAUUAUUGGGCGUAAAGAGCUCGUAGGCGGUUUGUCGGGUCUGCUGUGAAAGCCCGGGGCUCAACCCCGGGGUCUGCAGUGGGUACGGGCAGACUAGAGUGCAGUAGGGGAGACUGGAAUUCCUGGUGUAGCGGUGAAAUGCGCAGAUAUCAGGAGGAACACCGAUGGCGAAGGCAGGUCUCUGGGCUGUUACUGACGCUGAGGAGCGAAAGCAUGGGGAGCGAACAGGAUUAGAUACCCUGGUAGUCCAUGCCGUAAACGUUGGGCACUAGGUGUGGGGGACAUUCCACGUUUUCCGCGCCGUAGCUAACGCAUUAAGUGCCCCGCCUGGGGAGUACGGCCGCAAGGCUAAAACUCAAAGGAAUUGACGGGGGCCCGCACAAGCGGCGGAGCAUGCGGAUUAAUUCGAUGCAACGCGAAGAACCUUACCAAGGCUUGACAUUCACCGGACCGCCCCAGAGAUGGGGUUUCCCUUCGGGGCUGGUGGACAGGUGGUGCAUGGUUGUCGUCAGCUCGUGUCGUGAGAUGUUGGGUUAAGUCCCGCAACGAGCGCAACCCUCGUUCUAUGUUGCCAGCACGUGAUGGUGGGGACUCAUAGGAGACUGCCGGGGUCAACUCGGAGGAAGGUGGGGAUGACGUCAAAUCAUCAUGCCCCUUAUGUCUUGGGCUUCACGCAUGCUACAAUGGCCGGUACAAAGGGUUGCGAUACUGUGAGGUGGAGCUAAUCCCAAAAAGCCGGUCUCAGUUCGGAUUGAGGUCUGCAACUCGACCUCAUGAAGUCGGAGUCGCUAGUAAUCGCAGAUCAGCAACGCUGCGGUGAAUACGU